GCACGAGCUUUGACAAAAUAUUUAGAGGAAUUUUGGUGACCUUAAAUAGACGGUCAAUCAGUUAUCAGAGAGAGUUGAGAUUUUUGAAGGAUCAGAUAGCGUACCAGAAUAGUUCGGACCAGACGCAGCAGAAUUCAAAAAUUUUUUAUUCGAUCCAGUGUGUGACACUUAGAUCCAAAUCAGAUAAAAUCAUAAUAAAUAGCAUAUU
rnacentral:lncRNA from 1 species